AGAGUUUGAUCAUGGCUCAGGAUGAACGCUGGCGGCGUGCCUAACACAUGCAAGUCGAGCGAUCUCUUCGGAAGAGAGCGGCGGACGGGUGAGUAACGCGUGGGUAACCUGCCUCAUACACAUGGAUAACAUACCGAAAGGUAUGCUAAUACAAGAUGAUAUAAGAGAUUUGCAUGGAUUUCUUAUCAAAGCUUCGGCGGUAUGAGAUGGACCCGCGUCUGAUUAGCUAGUUGGUAAGGUAACGGCUUACCAAGGCGACGAUCAGUAGCCGACCUGAGAGGGUGAUCGGCCACAUUGGAACUGAGACACGGUCCAAACUCCUACGGGAGGCAGCAGUGGGGAAUAUUGCACAAUGGGCGAAAGCCUGAUGCAGCAACGCCGCGUGAGCGAUGAAGGCCUUCGGAUCGUAAAGCUCUGUCCUCAAGGAAGAUAAUGACGGUACUUGAGGAGGAAGCCCCGGCUAACUACGUGCCAGCAGCCGCGGUAAUACGUAGGGGGCUAGCGUUAUCCGGAUUUACUGGGCGUAAAGGGUGCGUAGGUGGUUUCUUAAGUCAGGAGUGAAAGGCUACGGCUCAACCGUAGUAAGCUCUUGAAACUGGGAAACUUGAGUGCAGGAGAGGAAAGUGGAAUUCCUAGUGUAGCGGUGACAUGCGUAGAUAUUAGGAGGAACACCAGUAGCGAAGGCGGCUUUCUGGACCGUAACUGACACUGAGGCACGAAAGCGUGGGGAGCAAACAGGAUUAGAUACCCUGGUAGUCCACGCCGUAAACGAUGAGUACUAGGUGUCGGGGGUUACCCCCCUCGGUGCCGCAGCUAACGCAUUAAGUACUCCGCCUGGGGAGUACGCUCGCAAGAGUGAAACUCAAAGGAAUUGACGG
rnacentral:rRNA from 1 species